rnacentral:tRNA from 1 species
AAGGGAGACCUAAUUCCGGUAGGAAACGAAAAAAAAGUAGUCCCAACCAAGAAUCAAUCCCAAAAGGUCGGAACGAGGUAUGAGGCUUUCAAACUAGGUUCUGGGUUCAUAAAAGACCUGAAUCAGGAACAAGGGCUAUUAGCUCAGGUGGUUAGAGCGCACCCCUGAUAAGGGUGAGGUCCCUGGUUCGAGUCCAGGAUGGCCCACCUGCACAGGUGGCAAAAACAAGAGAAGCUCCGAAUCAGCACCUUAUCUUAUAUACAUAUAUAAGAGAGAAUGCUGGCUCUGAGUACAGAGUCCAGAGGAACCUUGAAAACUGCAUAGAGCUAGGUGAAAAAGCCAAAAAAGAAGACCGCAA